AUACGGAGGAUGCGAGCGUUAUCCGGAUUUAUUGGGUUUAAAGGGAGUGUAGGUGGACAGUUAAGUCAGUUGUGAAAGUUUGCGGCUCAACCGUAAAAUUGCAGUUGAUACUGGUUUCCUUGAGUACGGUACAGGUGGGCGGAAUUCGUGGUGUAGCGGUGAAAUGCUUAGAUAUCACGAAGAACUCCGAUCGCGAAGGCAGCUCACCGGGCCGGAACUGACACUGAUGCUCGAAAGUGCGGGUAUCAAACAGGAUUAGAUACCCUGGUAGUCCGCACAGUAAACGAUGAAUACUCGCUGUUUGCGAUACACUGUAAGCGGCCAAGCGAAAGCGUUAAGUAUUCCACCUGGGGAGUACGCCGGCAACGGUGAAACUCAAAUGAAUCGACGGGG
rnacentral:rRNA from 1 species